AGUGCUCAUUUUGGCACUAUAUAUUCUAAAAAUUGGAAUAAUACAAAUAUUAGCAGGCCUCCUGCACAAAGAUGACAUGCAAACUCAUGAAGCCAUCCAUAUUUUU